rnacentral:rRNA from 1 species
GAUGAACGCUAGCGGCAGGCUUAAUACAUGCAAGUCGAGGGACAGCACAGGUAGCAAUACUGGGUGGUAACCGGCAAACGGGUGCGGAACACGUACACAACCUUCCUUUAUGUGGGGGAUAGCCCAGAGACAUUUGGAUUAAUACCCCGUAAUAUAGUUGAAUGGCUUCAUUUGAUUAUUAUAGCUACGGCGCUUAAGGAUGGGUGUGCAGCUGCGUAGAUAGUUGGCGGGGUAACGGCCCACCAAGUCUACGAUCAGUAGCUGAUGUGAGAGCAGGAUCAGCCACACGGGCACUGAGACACGGGCCCGACUCCAACGGGAGGCAGCAGUCAGGAAUAUUGGUCAAUGGACGCAAGUCUGAACCAGCCAUGGCGCGUGAAGGAUUAAGGUCCUCUGGAUUGUAAACUGCUUUUAUUUGGGACGAAAACGGGCCUUUCUAGGUCAAUUGACGGUACCAGAUGAAUAAGCACCGGCUAACUCCGUGCCAGCCGCCGCAGUAACAC